GCAAGCUGCCUAUCUACCUAUUGGACAAACUAAAAUCGUUCCGGACCACAGAAUGCCGGACUAGAGAGGUACAACAUGUAAUAAUUUGUGACUUUACUUCCAGUAGGUUCUGGACCUUGGCAAGGAGAGGUGUGCACUCUGCUGUACCACACAUCUUGCCUCACUUGUACUGCUGUACUAGGCUUCUCUUCUCCAAUAUCAGGAUGGCAAGUGAUUCACAACACAACUAAAGGAAGCAGGUGAUACAGCCCAGACCCAGCCAUCCACCCCUCCUCUCUACCUCAGAAGUGUUGUUCUGAACACUGGAGUGCCGUGCUGCCCUAGACUGUGCUUACUGGCUACUGCCUUGGACUUCCCUGUACUUGCUUGCUGGCUGCUGCCCUGGACGGCUCUGCUCUGUGCUCGCUUGCUGGCUGCUCCCCUGGACGGCUCUGCUCUGUGCUCGCUUGCUGGCUGCUCCCCUGGACUGCUCUGCUCUGUGCAUGCUGCCCUGGCCUGCAAAUUUAUAGAGCCAUUAAGUUUCCAUUAAUAAAUGUCUAAAUGUCA